AUGCAAGUCGAGCGGACCGAACGGAAGCUUGCUUCUGUUCGGUUAGCGGCGGACGGGUGAGUAACACGUGGGUAACCUGCCCGUAAGACCGGGAUAACUCCGGGAAACCGGGGCUAAUACCGGAUAACACCGAAGACCGCAUGGUCUUUGGUUGAAAGGUGGCUUUUGCUACCACUUACGGAUGGGCCCGCGGCGCAUUAGCUAGUUGGUGAGGUAACGGCUCACCAAGGCGACGAUGCGUAGCCGGCCUGAGAGGGUGACCGGCCACACUGGGACUGAGACACGGCCCAGACUCCUACGGGAGGCAGCAGUAGGGAAUCUUCCGCAAUGGACGAAAGUCUGACGGAGCGACGCCGCGUGAGCGAAGAAGGUCUUCGGAUCGUAAAGCUCUGUUGUUAGGGAAGAAGAAGUACCGUUCGAAUAGGGCGGUACGGUGACGGUACCUAACGAGAAAGCCCCGGCUAACUACGUGCCAGCAGCCGCGGUAAUACGUAGGGGGCGAGCGUUGUCCGGAAUUAUUGGGCGUAAAGCGCGCGCAGGCGGUCCCUUAAGUCUGAUGUGAAAGCCCACGGCUCAACCGUGGAGGGUCAUUGGAAACUGGGGGACUUGAGUGCAGAAGAGGAGAGCGGAAUUCCACGUGUAGCGGUGAAAUGCGUAGAGAUGUGGAGGAACACCAGUGGCGAAGGCGGCUCUCUGGUCUGUAACUGACGCUGAGGCGCGAAAGCGUGGGGAGCAAACAGGAUUAGAUACCCUGGUAGUCCACGCCGUAAACGAUGAGUGCUAAGUGUUAGAGGGGUUUUCCCUUUAGUGCUGUAGCUAACGCGUUAAGCACUCCGCCUGGGGAGUACGGCCGCAAGGCUGAGACUCAAAGGAAUUGACAGGGGCCCGCACAAGCGGUGGAGCAUGUGGUUUUAUUCGAAAGCAACGCGAAGAACCUUACCAGGUCUUGACAUCCCCUGACAACCCUG
rnacentral:rRNA from 1 species